rnacentral:rRNA from 1 species
AUGGACCCGCUGCUCCGCUCGGAGCUCAUCCGCUACGGCGAGCUCGCGCAGGCCUGCUACGACGCGUUCGACUACGACCUGGCCUCCCGCUACUGCGGCAGCUGCAAGUACCCGCGGCGCGCCUUCUUCGAGCGGCUCGGCAUGCCCGACGCGGCGCGGGGCUACUCCGUGACCCGCUACCUGUACGCCACGUCCAACUUCCGGUUCCCCAACUUCUUCUCCGGGAGGUCCCGCGCCGACGCCAAGCUGUGGAGCCAGCGCGCGAACUGGAUCGGCUACGUGGCCGUGUCCACCGACGAGGAGUCGGCGCGGCUGGGCCGGCGCGACAUCGCCAUCGCGUGGCGCGGCACCAUCACGCGGCUCGAGUGGGUGUCGGACCUCAUGGACUACCUCCGGCCCGUGGCCGACGAGGGCAUCCCGUGCCCGGACCCCGAGGUGAAGGUGGAGUCCGGCUUCGUGGACCUCUACACCGACAAGGACCCCUCCUGCCGCUUCUGCAAGUACUCCGCCCGCGAGCAGGUCCUGGUGGAGGUCCGCAAGCUCGUCGCCCACCACACCGCCCUCGGCGAGGACGUGAGCAUCUCCGUCACCGGCCACAGCCUCGGCAGCUCCCUCGCCAUCCUCAGCGCCUACGACAUCGCCGAGUCCGCCGCCAACCUCUCCAACGGUUCAAAUAGGGCGGCGGUGUGCGUGUACUCCUUCUCGUGGCCGCGGGUGGGGAACGGGCGGUUCAGGCAGCGGUUCGAGGGGGAGCUCGGGGUGAAGGCGCUGUGGGUGACGAACGUGCACGACAACGUGCCACGGAUGGAGGGGAUCUUCCUGAACGUGGGGGUGCCGGAGAUGGUGCGGCGGGUGGCGGAGGGGCUGCGGAUGCCCUGGUGCUACAGCCACGUCGGCGUGGAGCUCGCCCUCGACCACAAGCGCUCGCCGUUCCUCAAGGACACGCUCGACCCCGGCUGCUCCCACAACCUGGAGGCGCACCUGCACCUCCUCGACGGGUACCAUGGCAGCGGGGGGCGGUUCGUGCUGGCGAGCGGGCGCGACCCGGCGCUGGUGAACAAGGCGUCCGACUUCCUCAAGGACCACCACUGCGUGCCACCCUACUGGCGCCAGGACGAGAACAAGGGCAUGGUCCGCGCCUCCGACGGCCGCUGGAUCCAGCCCGACCGCCGUGGCCACCUCCACGACGACCACCACCACGACGGUCACCACGUCGUCGACGGCGACCACCACGGCCACUUCCGCCACUUCCGCCAGCCGUAG